GGGCAUCUGCUGACAUGGGGGCUGAAGUCAGGCGCCAGGUAGCGGGCACUCUGAAUCUUGUUUCCGGAACAUUGAUCCUCCUUGACAGCCUUGGGUGUCAG
rnacentral:pre_miRNA from 1 species